GACAGAGGCCCCGAGCGUUAGGCGGAAUUACUGGGCGUAAAGCGUGCGCAGGCGGUUCGCAAAGUCUGAUGUGAAAGCCCCGGGCUCAACCUGGGAACUGCAUUGGAAACUAACGGGCUCGAGUGUGGCAGAGGGGGGGUGGAAUUCCACGUGUAGCAGUGAAAUGCGUAGAGAUGUGGAGGAACACCGAUGGCGAAGGCAGCCCCCUGGGCUAACACUGACGCUCAGGCACGAAAGCGUGGGGAGCAAACAGG
rnacentral:rRNA from 1 species